AGGACCGCUGCAACUUUUUUUGCGCUUCAGUCUGCAAAGGAGAUUGCGAGUCGCCGACCUCUCUGGAGGGCCGCGUGAAGCGAGUCGCCGUCGCUCCGACAGGGCCCCUUCGGAUACAAGAUUCCGUCCUCUGACUCCUCCGCCUAUGGCUGCCGGCCGGCUCUUCCCUCGAUCUCCAAUGCUUCCCGUUUAGGCAGCAGAAUUGAUCCUGGACCUCCUCCUCCUGAUGGUCUUCUUCUUCUUAGCCCUCACCCUCUUCCUUUACCUGGGUGUCGAAUUCCCCAGGGCUUCCCCUCUCCUGUCGCCGCCGCCCAACAGGGCGUCAAUUUUCGUGGGUCUCAUCCUCCAUCACAGAUCGCUUCAUCGAUUAACUUUAUUUCUUUUGGCAGAAUACUUAUGGUAGUGCGAUUAAGCUGAUCCCCGAGAAGACGAAGUUUGGGGUUGCACUCGCGCGAUCUGCCGUAGAGCUCCAGGAGCGGCAGCAGUCUGUUCGAUUAGCUGGCUACUGACUCUAAAAGUGAGCAACCAAAUAAGGGACUUAUGAUUGCUGCAUUUGCAAAAAAGCCAAGAACCACCAGCCUGUUUUGGGUGUUUCAUAAGUAGAUGCAUGAAUCAUCAUGUUGCAUCAUCCAUGGAUGUUGCAUGAAGUCUUGCAAUUGCAAUCUACUUUUCGUCAUAUACAGGCAUGGUUUACCUUGGUGUCGAGUAACUGGAACAAAAGGAAUUUUUGCUGGCUCUUGAAGUCGCGGAGAAAGGUCUUUGAUUUCUAGAAGAUGGAUUGUGGACUGGAGCUGCUUCCAACAGAUAUAGGUGUUCUUAUGACCAACACCAGUAUAAAAGACAAUCAUCAUCCAAGUUGCUGCAAUGAUUGAAUGUCACUCAAUGAAAAACCAAUGGUGAGCUCCUUUGGAGGAGAGGGAGAGUUUAAUACUGGAUACCUUUGGCGGUUGGAGAUCGAGAGAAGUGGGAAAACAUGUAGACUAGACCAAAGGGUAAGACUGCAUCAUGUUGAUACUGGUGGUUAUCGACACAAGCAUGACGAGAUAUACGCGAAAAUGGACCACACAAAUCUUGGUUUCCAAGUGUCUUACUUAAAAAAAAAAAAGAAUAAAUAAAACAACAUCACAAGAAAACUCCAGUGGACGAGUCUCUUGAAUUUGUCAUAAGCGAUCUAUUAAUGUCCGGUUAGCGGAGCUGAGACUUUAUCUUUCGAUCAAUACAACCAAGUGAUGUGCUACAGAAAUAUUUUCUGCAUUACUUGCUGCUGGAGUGACUUCCAAAUGUAACUGACCUGAAAGCUUCAAUAAGAUGGCCUAUUGAGCUUGUGCACAUUCACCAGCAUGUCGAUCGUGAUAGUUCUCACAUGCAGCAACAUGACAGCAGCUAUUGAAGCGAUGAUUUUGAGUUAGCAUGAAGAAACUCUGUUAUUGGCAGUUUGUUCAAUCUCGAAGGAUCAGCAUAAAUCGCAUUGACUUGUGGACUGCCCUUCUCGGUAGAUCUCAGGCCCAAACUGCCAAGUUUGAGUCUUCUGCAAGUGAACGUCGUCAAUGUUUGGGCUCGACCUAUCGUUGAUGAAGUCCUCAGAAACGAAACCAUAAUUUCCCUCCUCUAUGUAAGUGUUAUUUUUUUUUGUUUUAAAGACUGUUUGAAACUUUACCUCUUGUCCCAUUCUCCAAAAGAAUCAAAGCUUUCAGCUCACGGGCUGUUCGGCAAAGGACUGCGAGGCUGCAGGGCUGGUCGGCUUAAUUUCCUGGCGCUCUCCAACCCUCUCCUCGCUGCUGUCAGAGGGUUAUCAAAUCAUAGCUGCCCAUCUCUAAUGCAGCAGGAAAACGAAGACUGAUAAGGCAGCUCGUGAGGCGAUGGUGAAUCCCACACACAAGCCGGGCCACCAACUUUUCGCUGAUCGAUGCUUUUAUGACUACUGCUGCUACUGCUACUGCUACUGCUAUUACUGUUACUACUACUAUUUUUAUACAAAGAAAACCUAAGUCAUGUUCCUUGAUUCGUCAGCGAAUGUAUGAUAGAGGUGCUUCAUGUGAUGAUACAAAGAGGAGAGAUAUCAAAAUUUUCCUUGGAUGGUCCUCAUCUGAUGAGCAAGAAGGAAACCACAAGACCCAUCCCAUUUGCAAUUAUGUUGAUAUCUGAAUGAAGAGGAGACUACUAAAGUGACUUCAACGUUUCUCCACGGAAAUAAAGGCGAUGGUACCGGUCCUUGACUUUCAUUUCCCAUGAACUGGUCCAAGGUGCGUGUACGUCUUCAUCAAUGGUGGAAAACUUAUCGAUUCCCAGUGAUCUGGUUGCCCUACAUGACUACGACAGGUAAGGAAACAACAGGCACUCUCGUGUGUAUGUAUGUGUGGCGUCCUAUUGAUUUCCCCACUGUCGAUGCUGCCAAAAUCAUUUUUAGAUAUUCAAAGGACAACAACGCAUGGCGUUUUCUCUCACGACAAGAUUUACAUUAUUGCU